GAGGGUAUAGCUCAGUAGUAGAGCACAUGCUUAGCAUGCAAAGAUCCUGGGUUCAAUCCCUGAUACCUCCA
rnacentral:tRNA from 1 species